AUUGCACGCUGGCGGCAGGCCUACCACAUGCCAGUCGAGCGAGCGGCGGACGGGUGAGUCAUGUAUGAGGAUCUGACCGAUAGCGGGGGAUACCUACUGGAAACGGUGGCUAAUACCGCAUACUAUCGGAUAAACCCAUAUGGGAUUAGCUAGUAGGUGGGGUAAAGGGUCACCUAGGCGACGAUAUCUAGCUGGUCUGAGCGGAGGAUCAGCCACACUGGGACUGAGACACGGCCCAGACGCCUACGUGAGGUAGCAGUGGGGAAUAGUGCACAAUGGGAGCAAGCCUGAUGCAGCCAUGCCGCGGGUGUGAAGAAGGCCUUCGGGUUGUAAAGCACUUUCAGCGAGGAGGCGUUACUCGCAGAAGAAGCACCGGCUAACUCCGUGCCAGCAGCCGCGGUAAUAC
rnacentral:rRNA from 1 species